UACGUAGGGUGCAAGCGUUUGUCCGGAAUUAUUGGGCGUAAAGAGCUCGUAGGCGGUGUGUCGCGUCGGCCGUGAAAACCUGGGGCUCAACUCUGGGCGUGCGGUCGAUACGGGCAUCACUUGAGUUCGGCAGGGGAGACUGGAAUUCCUGGUGUAGCGGUGAAAUGCGCAGAUAUCAGGAGGAACACCGGUGGCGAAGGCGGGUCUCUGGGCCGAUACUGACGCUGAGGUGCGAAAGCGUGGGGGAGCAAACAGG
rnacentral:rRNA from 1 species